UACAGAGGUCUCAAGCGUUGUUCGGAUUCAUUGGGCGUAAAGGGUGCGUAGAUGGCGUCGUAAGUCAGGUGUGAAAUCUCGGGGCUCAACCCCGAAACUGCACUUGAUACUGCGAUGCUCGAGUACUGGAGAGGAGAUUGGAAUUUACGGUGUAGCAGUGAAAUGCGUAGAUAUCGUAAGGAAGACCAGUGGCGAAGGCGAAUCUCUGGACAGUUACUGACACUGAGGCACGAAGGCCAGGGGAGCAAACAGG
rnacentral:rRNA from 1 species